rnacentral:lncRNA from 1 species
UCCGUUUCCGUCGGGUCCCGCGGGACCAGGGUUCCGGGGGCAUCGGGAUGGGGGGGUAGCCGCGCGGCGGUUUGAACGCCGAAAAAUGGGCAUGUUCGGGGUGCGCUCAGUAGGUUUAGACGGUUUUGGGCGUAUCUCAUGAUCCGAGCAUCCGAUUCCGUUUCCGUCAGGUCCCACGGGACCAGGGGUCCGGGGGCAUCGGGAUGGGUGGGUAGCCGCGCGGCGGUUUGAACGCCGAAAAAUGGGCAUGUUCGGGGUGCGCUCAGUAGGUUUAGACGGUUUUGGGCGUAUCUCAUGAUCCGAGCAUCCGAUUCCGUUUCCGUCAGGUCCCACGGGACCAGGGGUCCGGGGGCAUCGGGAUAGGGGGGUAGCCGUGCGGCGGUUUGAACGCCGAAAAAUGGGCAUGAUCGGGGCGGUUUAGCCGGUUUGGCCGGUUUCGGCCCGCCGGGGGGCGGUUCAUGCCCCGGGGGGGACCGCGGGGCGGGAUCGGGAGGAGGCGGACGCCUUCGGUGGGGUUCGGGCGGGUGCGGCCGGAUGGGGGGUGGCCCGGGGGGCUAUAGCGCACGUCCUCGGGGGCCGCAAAGAAGGGGCCGUAACUCAUGAUCCGGGCCUCCGAUUCCGUUUCCGUCGGGUCCCGCGGGACCAGGGUUCCGGGGGCAUCGGGAUGGGGGGGUAGCCGCGCGGCGGUUUGAACGCCGAAAAAUGGACAUGUUCGGGGUGCGCUCAGUAGGUUUAGACGGUUUUGGGCGUAUCUCAUGAUCCGGGCAUCCGACUCCGUUUCCGUCAGGUCCCACGGGACCAGGGGUCCGGGGGCAUCGGGAUGGGGGGGUAGCCGCGCGGCGGUUUGAACGCCGAAAAACGGGCAUGAUCGGGGCGGUUUUGCCGGUUUGGCCGGUUUCGCCCCGCCGGGGGGCGGUUCAUGCCCCGGGGGGGACCGCGGGGCGGGAUCGGGAGGCGGCGGACGCGUUCGGUGGGGUUCGGGCGGGUGCGGCCGGAUGGGGGGUGGCCCGGGGGGCUAUAGCGCACGUCCUCGGGGGCCGCAAAGAAGGGGCCGUAACUCAUGAUCCGGGCCUCCGANNNNNNNNNNNNNNNNNNNNNNNNNNNNNNNNNNNNNNNNNNNNNNNNNNNNNNNNNNNNNNNNNNNNNNNNNNNNNNNNNNNNNNNNNNNNNNNNNNNNNNNNNNNNNNNUAGGUUUAGACGGUUUUGGGCGUAUCUCAUGAUCCGGGCAUCCGACUCCGUUUCCGUCAGGUCCCACGGGACCAGGGGUCCGGGGGCAUCGGGAUGGGGGGGUAGCCGCGCGGCGGUUUGAACGCCGAAAAACGGGCAUGAUCGGGGCGGUUUUGCCGGUUUGGCCGGUUUCGGCCCGCCGGGGGGCGGUUGAUGCCCCGGGGGGGACCGCGGGGCGGGAUCGGGAGGCGGCGGACGCGUUCGGUGGGGUUCGGGCGGGUGCGGCCGGAUGGGGGGUGGCCCGGGGGGCUAUAGCGCACGUCCUCGGGGGCCGCAAAGAAGGGGCCGUAACUCAUGAUCCGGGCCUCCUAUUCCGUUUCCGUUGGGUCCCGCGGGACCAGGGUUCCGGGGGCAUCGGGAUGGGGGGGUAGCCGCGCGGCGGUUUGAACGCCGAAAAAUGGGCAUGUUCGGGGUGCGCUCAGUAGGUUUAGACGGUUUUGGGCGUAUCUCAUGAUCCGGGCAUCCGAUUCCGUUUCCGUCAGGUCCCACGGGACCAGGGGUCCGGGGGCAUCGGGAUGGGGGGGCAGCCGCGCGGCGGUUUGAACGCCGAAAAACGGGCAUGAUCGGGGCGGUUUUGCCGGUUUGGCCGGUUUCGGCCCGCCGGGGGGCGGUUCAUGCCCCGGGGGGGACCGCGGGGCGGGAUCGGGAGGCGGCGGACGCGUUCGGUGGGGUUCGGGCGGGUGCGGCCGGAUGGGGGUCGGCCCGGGGGGCUAUAGCGCACGUCCUCGGGGGCCGCAAAGAAGGGGCCGUAACUCAUGAUCCGGGCCUCCGAUUCCGUUUCCGUCGGGUCCCGCGGGACCAGGGUUCCGGGGGCAUCGGGAUGGGGGGGUAGCCGCGCGGCGGUUUGAACUUCCAACAAUGUGGCUGUUCCGCGAGCGCGCAAUAUGGUUACAGGGUUUUGGGCGUAUCUCAUGAUCCGGGCAUCCGAUUCCUUUUCCGUCGGGUCCCCCGGGACCUGGGGGCCGGGGGGAUCGGGAUGGGGGGGUAGUCGUGCGGCGGUUUGACGCCGAUAAUGGGCAUGAUCGGGGCGGUUUAGCCGGUUUGGCCGGUUUCGGCCCGCCGGGGGGCGGUUCAUGCCCCGGGGGGGACCGCGGGGCGGGAUCGGGAGGCGGCGGACGCGUUCGGUGGGGUUCGGGCGGGUGCGGCCGGAUGGGGGGUGGCCCGGGGGGCUAUAGCGCACGUCCUCGGGGGCCGCAAAGAAGGGGCCGUAACUCAUGAUCCGGGCCUCCGAUUCCGUUUCCGUCGGGUCCCGCGGGACCAGGGUUCCGGGGGCAUCGGGAUGGGGGGGUAGCCACGCGGCAUUUUGAACGCCGAAAAAUGGGCAUGUUCGGGGUGCGCUCAGUAGGUUUAGACGGUUUUGGGCGUAUCUCAUGAUCCGAGCAUCCGAUUCCGUUUCCGUCAGGUCCCACGGGACCAGGGGUCCGGGGGCAUCGGGAUGGGGGGGUAGCCGUGCGGCGGUUUGAACGCCGAAAAAUGGGUAUGAUCGGGGCGGUUUAGCCGGUUUGGCCGGUUUCGGCCCGCCGGGGGCCGGUUCAUGCCCCGAAGGGGACCGCGGGGCGGGAUCGGGAGGCGGCGGACGCGUUCGGUGGGGUUCGGGCGGGUGCGGCCGGAUGGGGGGUGGCCCGGGGGGCUAUAGCGCACGUCCUCGGGGGCCGCAAAGAAGGGGCCGUAACUCAUGAUCCGGGCCUCCGAUUCCGUUUCCGUCGGGUCCCGCGGGACCAGGGUUCCGGGGGCAUCGGGAUGGGGGGGUAGCCGCGCGGCGGUUUGAACGCCGAAAAAUGGGCAUGUUCGGGGUGCGCUCAGCGUAGGUUUUAGGGGACGGUUUUGGGGGGGCCGUAUCUCAUGAUCCGAGCAUCCGAUUCCGUUUCCGUCAGGUCCCACGGGACCAGGGGUCCGGGGGCAUCGGGAUGGGGGGGUAGCCGCGCGGCGGUUUGAACGCCGAAAAACGGGCAUGAUCGGGGCGGUUUUGCCGGUUUGGCCGGUUUCGGCCCGCCGGGGGGCGGUUGAUGCCCCGGGGGGGACCGCGGGGCGGGAUCGGGAGGCGGCGGACGCGUUCGGUGGGGUUCGGGCGGGUGCGGCCGGAUGGGGGGUGGCCCGGGGGGCUAUAGCGCACGUCCUCGGGGGCCGCAAAGAAGGGGCCGUAACUCAUGAUCCGGGCCUCCGAUUCCGUUUCCGUUGGGUCCCGCGGGACCAGGGUUCCGGGGGCAUCGGGAUGGGGGGGUAGCCGCGCGGCGGUUUGAACGCCGAAAAAUGGGCAUGUUCGGGGUGCGCUCAGUAGGUUUUGACGGUUUUGGGCGUAUCUCAUGAUCCAGGCAUCCGAUUCCGUUUCCGUCAGGUCCCACGGGACCAGGGGUCCGGGGGCAUCGGGAUGGGGGGGUAGCCGCGCGGCGGUUUGAACGCCGAAAAACGGGCAUGAUCGGGGCGGUUUUGCCGGUUUGGCCGGUUUCGGCCCGCCGG